CGAUGAACCUCACUUGUGGGGGGAUUAGUGGCGAACGGGUGAGUAACACGUGAGUAACCUGCCCUUGACUCUGGGAUAAGCCUGGGAAACCGGGUCUAAUACUGGAUACGACCUUCUGGCGCAUGCCAUGUUGGUGGAAAGCUUUUGUGGUUUUGGAUGGACUCGCGGCCUAUCAGCUUGUUGGUGGGGUAAUGGCCUACCAAGGCGACGACGGGUAGCCGGCCUGAGAGGGUGACCGGCCACACUGGGACUGAGACACGGCCCAGACUCCUACGGGAGGCAGCAGUGGGGAAUAUUGCACAAUGGGCGCAAGCCUGAUGCAGCGACGCCGCGUGAGGGAUGAAGGCCUUCGGGUUGUAAACCUCUUUCAGUAGGGAAGAAGCCGGCCCUUGGGUUGGUGACGGUACCUGCAGAAGAAGCGCCGGCUAACUACGUG
rnacentral:rRNA from 1 species